UUGAGACACUGUGAUACAUUAGGAUAUAACUCGUGAAAUUCAGGACUUCUCAAGUGCAGAGGGUUGGUAUAUAACACAGCAAGAUUUUAACUACACCCGAGCCAAAUUUAUAGGAAAUUAAAAAGCUGUGAAACCUGGGAAACAGAUUUCAGUAAAAUAUUAACUUUUUCUUUUACUAACAGACUUUCGCAGAUAUUCUAGUGUGAAUUACUAAUGUGCUUGAAAUAUAUUUAAAAUAAAUACUUGACUGCAAUUUGUGCUUAGAAGUAACUAUUUGUUGUGCUGUACGUAAGUUGUAAGAAGCAGCUUUUUUAUUGUUAUUUCACCAGCCAAAGAAAUGAGGGGUGGAGGGGAAGAACAGUCUAGAAUCUAUCUAGAACUAGAGACACAAACCACAUUUCCCAUCCUAUCAAACACUCCCAGUAAAUUCCUGCAUACAUUGCUUAAUUUCCUUCACACUUCAGCUUGGCUCAGCAGCAUUCAUAUACCUCAUGAGCCAGCAAUGAAGAAAACUGCAGGAAAGGCUGUAGAGGACUUAUCUUUAUCAAUAUGGAUGUGAUAGAUAGGCUCCGUUUAGAAUCUUACUAAUUAGCUAUGAAGGGGGCAUUUUAUAUGUAUAUUUACAUAUAAAUUUAUAUUUAUAACACCUGAAGGAAGUUCACACAGCAGAAGGGCCAUUUUGCCUUUAUUUCUAACAGCUGAGGACCUUCAGCUGUGCCAAUUUCUCUGUUGCAGAGGCAAAGAAAGAUUGCUGGCUGGAGUUAGUUUGUUCCAGUCUACAGCUGGGAGAGGUGUUCCCAUUCAAUCCCUUCUUUUAUGCCAUUCCUUGGAUUUGCAGGCUGCCAGUCCAGCAGGUGGGUAAAUCUCUUACUAAGCUUGAAGAGUGAUGGAGACAAAAAGCCACAAGCAGUCCUGGAAAAUGGGAACUCUGCCCCUUUGUCUGCUGCGAAGCUGCAUCAGUCUGCAGGGUGCAAAAAUGCAUUGUUCAGUAAACCCAGGGAAAACCAUAAGAAGACAGAACAUCUGAGGGAUGAAGUGAGCAGUUGUGAUUCCAAAGCCACAAAAAACGAAAGAACUGGAUGAUCAGAGAGAGAAAACUGUGAGUACAGCCCAGCAUCCUGUGCCAAAAGAAAGCACUUCAAGCACAUUGAAGUGCACUGCAAGCUCCUGGGGGGGAUUAGAACAAGUGGUACUGGAACAAGAGAGACAAACAAUGCACAUAUCAAAGUAAGUAGUUACACUGUGUACUGGAAGUAUUAAAAUACAGCACAAAGAAUAAGAAAUGGAAGACAGUUUAAACCACUGUUGUCAGCAUCAAAAAUGCCUACUUUUGUGAAGUGCAUUUCAGGAAAGUGGGAGAGAAAAGAAUAUAGAAAGCAGUGUAUGCAGGGAAAGAUGAAGGAGGGUGAAGUUUGGGUUAAAAGGUUCCAAAGUUUUUAAACCAAGUGUUUAUUAAAUAAUGGAACACUGUGUGAUUCACAUACAAAUAGGAGCUGAGCUUUUACUACACUUAGAUAAGGCAUGCUUAAAUAAAUAAAUAAAUAAAUAGUGUCGCUGGCCAUCUAGAAAUGCUACUUGGGGCUAUGAAUUUGAACAAGUAGUAGGAAAAACAAGAAAUCUAAAGCAUGAGCAAGUGUGACACAAGGACUGUGUCAAAAGGGUAGCAGGAUAAAGCAACUGUUAGUUCCCCUUUGGAUUUGGAACAGUAGUUUGAAGUAGUAAAAUGAAGUAGAUAGCUAGAUAGUCUUAUUAAAAUAGCAACAAUAAAUGUCCCUUUCCCAAGCAAGGCCAAGUAAUGAUACUGAUUUGGACUCAACAGCAGGAGCUGGAAAAGAAUCUUUUUCCUUGUUUGGCUAGCUUUCCCCAUUUAAGUACUUUAAACAUUGCUGGGCUUUUUUUUUUUUUUUUUCCCAUGCCUAGGGAAGCCAAUGUGGAGAGAAGGGUCCUGCUCUAUGCAUUACAGAGUGCACAGUAACUUACGGUUCAAGAUGUGCCAGUACCAUAAGAUUUUGGAGAAAAUCCUAUAUAAAACUUUUCCUACACUCAGGAGACUUAUUACUAGCUUCCUUAUCAAAUCCCAUCUCAGUAAUGGGCCACACAGGGAAUGUAAUCUCUAUGACUGUUGGGCAGUGGAACCUAGACAAGAUACUUUACAAAAUGAAGUUUUCAGACAAUUGUGCAGAUAUUGUGUUUGAGCACCAGUAAGUUAAAUAACUGAUACACAACGUCAGUUUUUAUAGCAUUUCAGCCUGUAUAAGAAAAAAAGUCACUCUAGGAGAAAACAACUUCUGCAAAAAGAAACUUGUUAAUCUUUCGAAAAGCAGUAAAUGGCAGAAUGGCAGACAUUUCUGACGUGUUGGUGGUGGGGAGGGAGGAAAAGAGUCUAGGGACAGGAAGGCUAUCUAGCUACUAUGCUAAGCCUUUUAGAAUGUGACUAUUUUAUUAUGAGUUGAGGCAUACAGGCUGCUGUCAACUGCUUGUCUUCAAACUUUCAGUGAGCACCUAUUCUUCAAUUAUUAUUUUUUUACUCCCAGCUUUGUUGACGUCAUUUGUCUUUCCUUUGUUGCUGUUCUUCACUCACUUAGGUACUUUCCCUUACUUGCAGCAUUAGACAUUCAGUGCUGUGCCACUUCUUUCUCAAUGUACGAGCUGUUAAGAAAAGAAUGAAGUGUAUGCUGACUAAGCCCUUUUUUCUUUUUUGAAAGGAAGUGAGGCAGAGCUGUGAAAUCUGAAAAAGAGCAAAGGAGUGAGAUCCUCUGUCCAGUUGUUAGCUGCCUAGAGAGUGAGUACGAAAUGAAAUGAACUAGCUAAUUCUCAGACGUGAAUACAUUUGCCAAAUCACUGGCUCUGGGAAUAUUGCUUAGGGCUUGUCCAUACAGCAUCACUGUGCAGUUUGUGAUUGAUCUCAGUGAUGAUACUCAGUGGUGUGACUGUUUACCCUAACCAAUACAUACAGAGAUGAUGUGGCAGACACUUACUUCUAAGUUUAGCAAAACAAUUGGGAACAAGUGCAGGUUUUACAAAGAACUACUCAAGUAGUUCUUCCCUGAGAAAAUUUAUUCCUGUCUUUUUACUACAGUAGGAUGGUAAAUAAGCUAAUGCAAUUUCUGAGCCUUUUGCCACCUCAUCUGUAAACAAUAAUUCUCUUUCAAAUCACCCGUAACUGUUUUAAAUGAAAACAAAUACCAAAAAUUGGAGAUGGCCUGUAGUGAUUUUUGUUUGGUUUGGUUUGGUUUUGGGUUUUUUUUUGUUGUUUGUUUGUUGCAUGUUUUUUUUAAAAAAGGUCAUCUUUUGUGUUUCAGCAGUAUGUAAUUAAUAUAUAGAACACCACCAAAAAAGGCAACCAGGAAAGUCCAAAGUUAACUACACUGCUAGGAUUCCUACUGACCCAAAUUCUUAUAAGAUUCAUCACACACAGGACAAAUAUAAGUAGCCAUAUCUGGUAAGAACAUUGUAUUUAUAGUAUAGAUAAGUUUAUCCUAGAUCUGGAGUUCUGUUUCCACUUAGCGUGCUCUACAAACCUAGGAAAAAAAAAUAAACAGGUCCGAGUUAGCAUGAAAAGAAAGAAGUUACUUAGCAGGAAUGAAGACUGCCCAUAAUCACAUCAGAACUGAGCCACUUAAAUGAAACAUUUUAACUUCCAAUUAGUGCAUUCGGUGAGGAGAACAGCCUGGCUUUCUCUAUCAAGAUAAGAACCUCUUACAUUACCUAAGCGUGCUUCAUGACAGGUGUAGAGCAAGGACAUAGGAAAAUAAUUAGACUGUGGGAAAAGAAUGACCUCCCUCAAGGAGAAUGCAAAUAAAGUACAAAUGUCUAUAAUCACUCAGAAAC
ensembl:lncRNA